rnacentral:lncRNA from 1 species
AAAAAUGAAAAAGGCAAACCAAACUAGUGGCGCCACUAAAAGCAGAAUCAAUUUGCCAAAAUAAUUCUAGUAACCAAAAUUUCAAAGUGGCGCCAUAAAGGGUAGAAAUUUCAGAAUCUGCACUAUCUCAUUAAAAAUUUCAGAAUUUUUCAAAUCUCCCUCACUUUUAAAAAGGGCAGUAAGUUCAGCCCUUUAUAAAUAGGGCAUACAUUUCAGAUCAUCAAACAGCAGCUAACUCCUAAA